GGAGGCACAGUCAUUUACUACAUUGAUUUAGUGCUGCAUUAUUCUGACCAAGUCCAUGCGCUUCAGCUGCCAUUGAGAAGGAUCUAUGGGCAACUGGAACUGUCAAUGAAGAGUAUCUAAAGGCUCUGAAUGCAUUCUUUGGCAAUUUUCCACGUUUACAAGCCACCAAGCCUGCAACAUUUAGUAUUCCUCAUCUGGUCUGGUUACCUCCCUAAAGACGGGUUCUGAGGCAACUCAAGAAGCUGCUCUAGCCUCUAGAUGCACUUUUCCUGAUGCGGCAAGCCUGGUCAGCGACUUAGCAUGCCCAGCUGAGGUUUCAAAUGAACUCGAACCAGCUCAUCCAAGAACGGCAAAGUUCUCGAUCAUAGUGGCAGUGAUCUCCUCGUUCAUGGUUGGUCUGGUCUUGUCGGCGAUCUUGCUUGCCACUCAGGACAUAUAUCCAUCCGUAUUCUCCAGAGAUUUGUAAGGACGGCGAAAAUCAGUCAUUUAGCACCAUCUGAAAUGUAAAUAUGUUCAUCGAAGGACAACUUGUGAAAAUGAGGACUUACAAGCCUGGUGGUUGUGGUAAAGGUUGUGGUUC